rnacentral:rRNA from 1 species
AUGCCCAGGCCCUCGCCACCGACGAGCUUCAAUCAGGCGCAGAUCGCGCAGGCUCAGGCCGGCAAGGACUCGGAGGUCGCCAAGCUCCGGAGCCGCAAGAUGGGGAAGGGUGUUCCAGAUGCGGAGAAGGCCGAGCUCAACUCUGUCAAAGACCACCACGCCGCCGCGGUCGCCAAGCUCCGGAGCCGCAAGAUGGGGAAGGGUGUUCCAGAUGCGGAGAAGGCCGAGCUCAACUCUGUCAAAGACCACCACGCCGCCGCGGUCGCCGACAUGCCUAGGUUUCUCAAGUUUGGACGAAUGAGCACCAUGAAGUUGGUCUUGGUGGCUAUUACCUCGUUGUUGCUUGCCAGUGAGGCGCAGCCCACAGUUCUGAAGCUGGAGCGUCCCAACGCACUGCCAGGAGGAGGAGUUGUUGAGCUCCCUGUGAACGGUACUGGAAAGUACAUGUUCCACGGGCCAUAUUUGACUCGCGUGAUUCUUGGGAACCCAUCACAGAGCUUCGACGUUCUCAUCGACACGGGAAGUAUCCUACUGUGGAUUGGUUGUGAGACAGCGCGAAUUCCUACCCGCCUCUUUUACCCCGCAUCAUCAACAUCAGUACUCGGUUGCUCGGAUCACUCGUGCCAGGCUCUGGAGAGUGCGAGGGCUGCAAAGUGCAACACCUCCAAUAAUAGGUGCGCUUAUGAUCUCGGGUAUGGCAACGGGGAUAAUGGCACAGCUUCGAACGCCGUCGGCUAUUAUAUAUCUGAUUUAGUGCACCUGAACGGCCUUUCUACUCCUGCACGCAUUGUCUUCGGGUGUACUACUUCGUGGUCGGGGCAACUGACACGUGGCGGAUUCGACGGAAUUUUUGGCUUGUCGCCUUUUGGGAUGUCGUUUAUUUCACAGCUAUAUUCCCUUGGAAUCUCUGGCAAGGUAUUCACGCUGUGCAUGCAUAGUCCAACUGGUGGCGGAAUUCUUGCAUUCGGUGAAGCCCUCGAGCCUGGCUUGACCUACACACCCCUCUUGCCAUCGCCGCAAUAUUACCAAGUGAAUCUACAGAGCAUAGCUGUAAAUGGGCAGACACUCCCCAUUGAAAGCUCAGUGUUUGGACCCUCACCGAGUAAUUUUACCUUCGUCGAUUCGGGAACCACGCUCGCGUAUCUAGCAGAUGGAGCAUAUGAGCCGUUUAUUAGUGCAAUAAGGGUUGCAACCCCUCCGUCUGAACUUCCGUUCACCGGGGAAAAUGGCGAAAUUUGUUUUGCCACUUCCACCAGUAUUGACUCUGCUUUCCCGUCCGUGGAACUAGACUUUGUGGGUGGUGCCAAAAUGUUUCUGUAUCCACACAACUACAUGUAUUAUGUUAAGCCUUCAGUGUAUUGCAUUGGCUGGCUUAGGAACACGGGGAGACAGGUCACUUUACUUGGAGAUAUCGUGCUCGUAGACAAAAUCCUAGUGCUAUACAUUGCAAAAUCGACCUACACUUAUUUGAUUAUGUGUGUACUUAUUAUGUGUGCAAAAUCGACCUACACUGAUUCUACAGUUGUAACUUCUGACCAAAGGAUUUACUGA